ensembl:lncRNA
GGCAAACAUUUUAUAGCAGAAUGUAAGGAACAUAAUUAUGUUGUAACUAGAAUUUUGAAUAGAUAUUUGUAGUGGAGUUGGUAAGAAAAUUACUUGAGUACAUUGAGCUGUUUGUGUGUGUGACUAAGAGGAGGUAGAAACAACCCAUUUGUCCCAGCUAUUUGUAGAAAUUGAGGUAGAAGUCCAAUUUUUCUUCUGGGCUUUAUGCAUUUAGGCCAGGAGAAGCACCCUUUGCAGACAUGCUUGAGGGAGGGAAUGACCUGACAGCUGGAGAAAGAGGAAGCAGGAAAGUCAAAUUAACUUCUGGUGGUUUUUAAGGUGUUGUGUGUACUUGUGGCUUUUUUAAUGUUAUGUUUUUCACUGGAGUUGAACAGCCAAAUCAGGGUCUUGCCAUGCAGUGCGGUGGCUUUCCGCUGUCCCUUUCAUUAAAGGAGGAUGCUCACUGGGUGUGUCUGACCACAACAACGGGGCUGGAGCUCUGCAACGUGUGCAGCGGUGCGAAAGCUCAAGCUCGCUUUGUGCACGCAAUUCAUUUUUUAUUUUAAUUAUCGCGGCCGGCGGUGGUUGUUUUCUCACCUCUUUCACCUUCCGCUUUCACCUCCUCCGUUGGUCUGAACGCUGGGGGGGCGGCAGCCUCCACGCCACCUCCCCAGCUCCAGCCGGGCCUCGGAACGGGCCUCUCAUCGCACCCCUGCCGCUUCCGCCCCGUGCGGCCAACCCAGCCCGAUCGCACGGCGGGCAUAGCGCGAGGUGAUGCGAGGGGUACCUGGGCGGGGCCUCGAAACGCCGCCGCCGCUGUACCGGGCGGGCCGCAGGUGCGCGGCGAGGGGCGGGCCGGGCGCGGCGGCGCUUUUGUCCUCCGGAGCCGCCUCCCCGCCCCGCGGCCCGUCAGCGGUUCCGCCGCACACGCCCCAUUGGCCGGCGAGGGCGGUAACGUGACGGCGGGGCGGGGCCGGAGCCAAGAAGUGCCGGUUGGAGCCGGUGCCUCGCGCCGCGCUGCAGGCUGCUGCGUGGACGGGGCGCGCUGCCGUGCAGACCGCGCCGGGCGGGAGGCAGGAGGGGAAGCGGGUGAGGCGCUGUGGGCAGGGGCAUAUUAUUACCAUCCUGUCCUUCUUCAGCUGCUUUCCCUUGAGGGGGCCUGAAUGAAGACAAAUGUAAAGAUGGCAUGUCCAAGGAAUUUUAAAAGGUGUAGACCUCCUGACUGAGAGGUGCUGUGUAUUUUAUUCUUUUUAAUAAGGUAAGUAUGAAUCGAGGCUACUCUGCUAGGGAUUAAAUGUGCCUGUUUUUUGUAUAUGGCAUACACAUGCUUAUAUGACAAUAACAGACAAUUUGUGUUAGAAAGCUACGCUUUCAUUAGUAUACUUAACUGUCGUGGUGGAAUAAGACUGGGAGUUAUAUAUGAAGAUAUGUAAUGUAAAACUGCUAUUUUGAGGUGGGUUUUUUUACUUUACAAAAUGGGUGAAAUGAUUUAAUCCAGUAUAAAAUUCUAAAUUACAAGAACAGUUAUUUUACCACAUUGCUUUGAUUUUUUUAAAUUUUUAUAAGAGAAAUAACUUGAACAGAAGGAUUGCUAGUAAUAUCUUGGGUACUACUUUAACUCCUACCUGCUUAUUUCUUUUACUUUACCAGUACCCAAAUGUUUAAUCAAAACACCCUGAUUUCUUUUGGUAGUUUCUUUGUCUUUUGCAUUUUGAGUAACUUUCACUAGAAAAUAAAAUGAGAUCAUGUCUAGGGUUAAGCGCUAGAAGUUCUUAGAUCCUUUUGCUAUACUGUGGGUGCUAAACCAAUGUUAUGUGUUACAUGCACAAAUCAUGAAAACGAUCAUAAGCUUCAAGCAUUUAAUACAGAGAAAUGGUUUUUAACAAUUCUCUAAGGAUGUCUUUUUUUUCCUCUCCCAGCUGCUG